UCCCUGAUAGCUCAGUUGGUAGAGCGACGGACUGUUAAUCCGCAGGUCGUAGGUUCGAGCCCUACUCGGGGAGCCA
rnacentral:tRNA from 1 species